rnacentral:rRNA from 1 species
UACGGGGGGAGCAAGCGUUGUUCGGAUUUACUGGCGUAAAGGGCGCGUAGGCGGUCAGCACAAGUCAGUUGUGAAAUCUCCGGGCUUAACUCGGAAAGGUCAACUGAUACUGUGCGACUAGAGUGCAGAAGGGGCAACUGGAAUUCUCGGUGUAGCGGUGAAAUGCGUAGGAUAUCGAGAGGAACACCUGCGGCGAAGGCGGGUUGCUGGCUGACACGUGACGCUGGAUGCGCGAAAGCCAGG